rnacentral:rRNA from 1 species
CUCGUAGGCGGUCUUAAAGUCAGAUGUUAAAUCUUCAGGCUUAACCUGAACCUCUCAUCUGAAACUUUAAGACUUGAGGUCAGAAGAGGAAAGUGGAAUCCCGGUGUAGCGGUGAAAUGCGUAGAUAUCGGGAGGAACACCAGUGGCGAAGGCGGCUUUCUGGUCUGAUUCUGACGCUGAGGAGCGAAAGCCAGGGGGAGCAAACG